AAGAUCAAAGAUACAAGAUUUACGUGGUUUGACAAAUAACAAACCACAAAUCUACUAUACACUGCAAAAAUAAUGGUAUAUGCAGAAUCUUGGACAAAACUGAGAUUCACAAAUCACAAUAGUCUCUUUUGGGAAAAAUGUCAAAUCUCAAAGAAAUAUUUCUCGAAUGAGAUUCACAAAUCACAAUAGUCUCCCUUGGGAAAAUGUCAAAUCUCAAAGAAAUAUUUCUCGAAUGAAAGCCAAUACUGACAAUAAUUAUCACCAAAUAGGUGAUUCAGGAAAUACGAAAAAUUCAAUUUUCUCCUCUUUCCUCUCUCCCUCGCCCUCCCGUUGGAAGCCUUCGUUGUCUUGUGUCUUUUUUCCUAUCGACAGACACCCUUCGCAUAUAGUACCAAUAUUACCUUCCCCGUUUUACUUCCAUUGAAUGAGAGAAAAUUGUUAAACUACUUUUUUUCCUUCCACAUCUAAUUAAUUUUCUACGGGGAAAAGGCUAUUAGUCUACAAAAAUGGCGAAAUUUAUCCAAAGAUCACUCAAAUGCACAAAUAACCUUUUUGUUGGCAUUGUUUCACGUAAUCACGUUUAUGUUGUCAGACUAUUUGUUAGACCUUUCUCGGCUAAGAGAAAAUAUAAAUAUAGUUACAUAAUAAACAGUAAAAAAUGCGCAGAGAACUAACUGACCACAAUUACAGCUGCCACACAAGUCCUCAUUCCAUAAGCAUCAUAGCUAGAAAUAAGACGAAAAAAAGCACAAAGACUCCAAAUAAAUUAAGAAUAGUUCCAUAAAACACAGACAGUAAUAAUAAAUAAAUUCCUUGAUUUUAAACAUAAAUAUCUAAACGUAUAUAGAGAAAAGGAGGGGUAAAAAAAAAACUGCCAGUCAAUUUAUUUUGCUUCAAAAUCAUCACUCAAUCUGAUUUUUGGCUGGCACGUUGGAACAUUCUGUCACAGAAAAUAACAGAUUUCAAUCGAUUGAAAUAAAAGUAAACUUGAGUGAGAACUUUGAAACAAAAUAAAGUAGGAUUACUAACAGUACUACCAGUUUUUUUUUUUUUUUUUUUUUUUU
rnacentral:lncRNA from 1 species